GAUUUGUAAAUCUCUAGGAAAAUACUUCUGCUUAACUGAAGAAAUUUUGGAGAGACUGCAAAUCUAGGGACCGGGUGAGGUUGAAUGUACUUCUGGGGUAGGGGUAAAAUCCUGUAAUCCUGGAAGGACGACCGGUGGCGAAGGCGUUCAACUAGAACGGAUCCGACGGUGAGGAACGAAGGCUAGGGGAGCAAACCGGAUUAGAUACCCGGGUAGUCCUAGCUGUAAACACUGCCCACUUGGUGUUGCAUCUCCGGUAAGGGGGUGCAGUGCCGUAGCGAAGGUGUUAAGUGGGCCGCUUGGGGAGUAUGGUCGCAAGGCUGAAACUUAAAGGAAUUGGCGGGGGAGCACCGCAACGGGAGGAGCGUGCGGUUUAAUUGGAUUCAACGCCGGAAAACUCACCGGAGGCGACCUGUGUAUGAGAGUCAACCUGAUGAAUUUACUCGACAGCAGGAGAGGUGGUGCAUGGCCGUCGUCAGCUCGUACCGUAGGGCGUUCACUUAAGUGUGAUAACGGGCGAGACCCCCAUCUUCAAUUGCUAAGCUAACCGUGAGGUUGGUAGAACUUUGAAGGGACCGCCAGUGCAGAACUGGAGGAAGGAGGGGUCGACGGCAGGUCAGUACGCCCCGAAUCCUUCCGGGCAACACGCGCGCUACAAAGGACAGGGCAAUGGGCUGCGACCUCGAAAGGGGAAGCCAAUCCCGAAACCUGUUCGUAGUUAGGAUUGAGGGCUGUAACUCGCCCUCAUGAAUCUGGAUUCC
rnacentral:rRNA from 1 species